GUCAUAUGCUUGUCUCAAAGAUUAAGCCAUGCAUGUCUAAGUAUAAGCAAUUUAUACAGUGAAACUGCGAAUGGCUCAUUAAAUCAGUUAUCGUUUAUUUGAUAGUUUCUUUACUACAUGGUAUAACUGUGGUAAUUCUAGAGCUAAUACAUGCUUAAAAUCUCGACCCUUUGGAAGAGAUGUAUUUAUUAGAUAAAAAAUCAAUGUCUUCGGACUCUUUGAUGAUUCAUAAUAACUUUUCGAAUCGCAUGGCCUUGUGCUGGCGAUGGUUCAUUCAAAUUUCUGCCCUAUCAACUUUCGAUGGUAGGAUAGUGGCCUACCAUGGUUUCAACGGGUAACGGGGAAU
rnacentral:rRNA from 1 species